rnacentral:Y_RNA from 1 species
GGCUGGUGCAAAGGCACUGAAUUAUCUCGAUUGUUCAUAGUCAGGUACAGAUUGAACUCCUUGUUCUACUCUUUCUCCCUUUCUCACUACUGCAUUUGAGUAGUCUGAA